CACCGUGGUAUCUAGGCUGACAAAUGUCACGGGGAGUUUUCUUAAUAUAACAUGUCCAUUGCAGAAUUUCUUUAUAGUUCCAAUAUAAGGCUGGCUUUCAAAACCAGAAAGGUACCAUCCAGCUUCUAAAAUUAACAUCUGGUUAAAGCCUGGCUUAAAUGAAUGCUUUAAAAACUCUUGUUAUAUCAUGAGAUAAAAAUGUGCCUGAAUAUGGAAAACCUGUACAAAAAUAUUCAUGAUGUGUUUCAUUAUGUACCUUCCUUUACAUGGCAUCUGAUGAUAAUCAGGAUCUAACUUACUUAUGGGGUUAGUGAACCAUGUUAUUGAGGUGUUCAUGUCUCUCAAUACUGCAUCACAGCAGCUGAAGCUCAGUCAUAAGAGAGUGAUGACUAAAUGACAACCAGCAGAUGAUGUGUCUCCUAAUGAUCCUAUGGGAAGUAAGCAAACUGGACUAAACAGGAGACUUCCUGUGGACACACGGAUGUCCCACCCGGGUAAAAUCCUCUUUGUGCACGUGGUGCCUACUCCACUGGCACUGUCUUCCCAGAGGAGCUCCUGGAGACCUAAAUCAGGCCUCUAAAGGUU
rnacentral:lncRNA from 1 species